rnacentral:misc_RNA from 1 species
UACAUAGGGGGCAAGCGUUAUCCGGAAUUAUUGGGUGUAAAGGGUGCGUAGACGGAGAAACAAGUUGGUUGUGAAAUCCCUCGGCUCAACUGAGGAACUGCAACCAAAACUAUUUCCCUUGAGUGUCGGAGAGGAAAGUGGAAUUCCUAGUGUAGCGGUGAAAUGCGUAGAUAUUAGGAGGAACACCAGUGGCGAAGGCGACUUUCUGGACGAUAACUGACGUUGAGGCACGAAAGUGUGGGGAGCAAACAGG